rnacentral:tRNA from 1 species
GCCCUGUGGUGUAUAGCACAUAAAAUUGCAAAUUUUAAAGAGCAAAUAAUCUCUGCCGGGGCUU